ensembl:processed_transcript
CAGAUGCUCACUUCAUACGAGUACAUGACGGCGAAGAGUCCGCUCAUGAUGCAGCAGAAGAUGGUGACCAGCAGAGACUCCACCAGGCCAGAUGAGCCGUCUGGAUGCUGUCGGUGUCAUUGGCAGGACCGGCUGUGAAGAUGCUGACCGAGUCGUAUGCUGGGACGCUGGGUAAAAUCACUGCAUCUCUGUGUCCCGCUGCAUCAUGAUGAGGGUCCUGGAGGCCUGAAGAGCCCUGCGGUCUCGUAUCUCCAGCAGACGGGUUUAGACGAGCAGCUGCACAGGAGAAAUGCACAGAUGCAGGCUUGUGAAAAA